GACUAUAAUCAGUAAAUAAACAUGGGUGGCAGGGUCAUCAAAGCUCCAGCUGGGGGUGAACCAAAGCAGUGCUGCAAACACGGUGACCUUCACCGCUGCCAACAGAGCCCAAAUGUGGUGGGUGAGGGUGGGAGGGUGAGGGUGGAGAGCGGGCUUCAGCCAGGCUCUUGUUAUUACCGGGACUUACUGUAGAAACCGUAGUGCACUUCCACCAUGAAGAUUCUACUACAAACACACACACACACCCAAAAAGCCCAAAACAACAACAAAAAUCUCAACAAGAGACCUCUUUAUGGGAUGGAAAUGAAACCUACAGACUGUGCUAGCAAGUGGACAUGGCCUGUGAGAGAUGCUCCUCCCAUGAGUCUUAAAAGGGUCGAAAAGAGUUGGACAAGACUGAGUGAAUAAGCACACAGAGGCUUUUGUGUCUUGAUUCUCCUGAUGAAGACACAGGAGUCUGAUCAGGAAGCCCUGAGCUGUUUCAGGCCAGAGGGCUUAGUGGGAAGCAGCAGCCCUCAGCUCCUCAACUGAACCUGUGGAGUUUGUAUGUCAACAGAAGCAUCGACUCAUGUAACGGGGAUCUGGGGAGAGAUCGGGGGAAAACAGAACACAACCAGAUACUGAAACCCCCACCAGGUGGGAGAAGUUAACCGUAUUCUGCCUACCAGCAUGGAGACCCCAGACCAGUUGGAACCAGAAGAAUCAUGAUGCUGAUUCCUGAUGACCUCACCACCAGCCGGUCAGAAGAAUAUUCACGAGCUGAUCAGAUACAAUCCCCGCCCCCACCUCGGCUUUAAAAACCUUUCAUUUCAGCACUAGCUCCCUGGAUUCCUUGCUUGGCGCCUGAAAUAAACACCACGCUUUACUUCACCAUAGUCAGUGUCGGCACACUGGCUUUACUGCA